AUUGAACGCUGGCGGCAGGCCUAACACAUGCAAGUCGACCGAGUGGCGGACGGGUGAGUAAUGUCUGGGAAACUGCCUGAUGGAGGGGGAUAACUACUGGAAACGGUAGCUAAUACCGCAUACCCUCAGAUGUGCCCAGAUGGGAUUAGCUUGUUGGUGGGGUAAGGGCUCACCAAGGCGACGCUCGCUAGCUGGUCUGAGAGGAUGACCAGCCACACUGGAACUGAGACACGGUCCAGACGCCUACGGGAGUCAGCAGUGGGGAAGAGUGCACAAUGGGCGCAAGCCUGAUGCAGCCAUGCCGCGUGUAUGAAGAAGGCCUGCGGGUUGUAAAGUACUUUCAGCGGGGAGGCGUGACCCGCAGAAGAAGCACCGGCUAACUCCGGGCCAGCAGCCGCGGUAAUUC
rnacentral:rRNA from 1 species